GUGAGGCAGGCUAUCAUGCAAGUCGAACGAACUCUGGUAUUGAUUGGUGCUUGCAUCAUGAUUUACAUUUGAGUGAGUGGCGAACUGGUGAGUAACACGUGGGAAACCUGCCCAGAAGCGGGGGAUAACACCUGGAAACAGAUGCUAAUACCGCAUAACAACUUGGACCGCAUGGUCCGAGCUUGAAAGAUGGCUUCGGCUAUCACUUUUGGAUGGUCCCGCGGCGUAUUAGCUAGAUGGUGGGGUAACGGCUCACCAUGGCAAUGAUACGUAGCCGACCUGAGAGGGUAAUCGGCCACAUUGGGACUGAGACACGGCCCAAACUCCUACGGGAGGCAGCAGUAGGGAAUCUUCCACAAUGGACGAAAGUCUGAUGGAGCAACGCCGCGUGAGUGAAGAAGGGUUUCGGCUCGUAAAACUCUGUUGUUAAAGAAGAACAUAUCUGAGAGUAACUGUUCAGGUAUUGACGGUAUUUAACCAGAAAGCCACGGCUAACUACGUGCCAGCAGCCGCGGUAAUACGUAGGUGGCAAGCGUUGUCCGGAUUUAUUGGGCGUAAAGCGAGCGCAGGCGGUUUUUUAAGUCUGAUGUGAAAGCCUUCGGCUCAACCGAAGAAGUGCAUCGGAAACUGGGAAACUUGAGUGCAGAAGAGGACAGUGGAACUCCAUGUGUAGCGGUGAAAUGCGUAGAUAUAUGGAAGAACACCAGUGGCGAAGGCGGCUGUCUGGUCUGUAACUGACGCUGAGGCUCGAAAGUAUGGGUAGCAAACAGGAUUAGAUACCCUGGUAGUCCAUACCGUAAACGAUGAAUGCUAAGUGUUGGAGGGUUUCCGCCCUUCAGUGCUGCAGCUAACGCAUUAAGCAUUCCGCCUGGGGAGUACGGCCGCAAGGCUGAAACUCAAAGGAAUUGACGGGGGCCCGCACAAGCGGUGGAGCAUGUGGUUUAAUUCGAAGCUACGCGAAGAACCUUACCAGGUCUUGACAUACUAUGCAAAUCUAAGAGAUUAGACGUUCCCUUCGGGGACAUGGAUACAGGUGGUGCAUGGUUGUCGUCAGCUCGUGUCGUGAGAUGUUGGGUUAAGUCCCGCAACGAGCGCAACCCUUAUUAUCAGUUGCCAGCAUUAAGUUGGGCACUCUGGUGAGACUGCCGGUGACAAACCGGAGGAAGGUGGGGAUGACGUCAAAUCAUCAUGCCCCUUAUGACCUGGGCUACACACGUGCUACAAUGGAUGGUACAACGAGUUGCGAACUCGCGAGAGUAAGCUAAUCUCUUAAAGCCAUUCUCAGUUCGGAUUGUAGGCUGCAACUCGCCUACAUGAAGUCGGAAUCGCUAGUAAUCGCGGAUCAGCAUGCCGCGGUGAAUACGUUCCCGGGCCUUGUACACACCGCCCGUCACACCAUGAGAGUUUGUAACACCCAAAGUCGGUGGGGUAACCUUUUAGAACAGCCGCCAAGUGAC
rnacentral:rRNA from 1 species